CCAGGUGUUGCGUCGGCUGCUAUGUGUCCAACAAAUGGUGCUGGGACGAGCAAGGGUCGCGCUGCCUCUCUCCUGCUGGGCUCGCCUGGGCUCCCUGGUGCUCGGCAGGGACUCAGGAGCGGCCUGCUCCUCCCGAAGGACCCUCUGGGCAUCUAGGACGCUCAACGAUGCCGAGAAGAGUAAGGAGAAGUCCUUAGAACCAGCAGAAGGGGGCUUGGACGAGGGCGGCGAACGCCUCUCCUCACCGCUUCAUCCACCUCCUUCUCCUCACCCUCUUUCUUCCUCUCUUUCCGAAACCGUCCCAAGGGCGGAGGAAAGAGGAGGAAAAAUCAUCCUUCACUUGGAGUCCAUGGGCGAGUUUGUGUCCGCGUUGACAGAGGAGCAAAGGGCGGCCCUUCUGCUGGAGAUCCACCAGGCGCAGGCCACCGAAGUCAAGAAGAAGGCCGAGGCGGAGAAGACGAAACCCAGACCUCCGAAUGCGUCAGAACUAAGACAGUUGGCUGUGUUUAAUGCUCUACCAUUUAUUGGUUUUGGUUUCCUUGACAACUUCAUCAUGAUUAUUGCUGGGGACUACAUUGACCUCACCAUCGGUACAACUCUGGGCAUAAGCACGUUGGCAGCUGCAGCCCUUGGUAACACUAUCAGUGACCUGGCUGGCAUAGGGUCAGCUUGGUAUGUGGAGAACAUGGCAGCAAAGACAGGCAUGCGCCCCCCAGACCUAAGUCAGGAGCAGAUUGAUAUGGUUUCCUCAAGGUGGUGCGCAAAUUUGGGUCGUGGUCUAGGAGUUGUGAUAGGCUGUCUAUUGGGCAUGUUUCCGCUUUUCUUCUUGCCGUUCCACGAAGAGGACAAGAGCGAAGUAGAGGCAACAUAAUAUUUAUCACUGUAUAGGGUUUGAGGCAUAGAAUGGAUGUGUAUUGCAGAAGGUGCAUUGAAUUAUAGAGAAGCAACAUCAGAGAGGAAUUUUAGGGAAACAAAAGGCAUGUAAGUGCAGAAUUGGUCCUGCUGCACUUGCUAGUGAAGACUUACAAGAUUUUGCUUUUUCCACAUCUGGAUGUUUUAGACUUUAGUAAGUAAUAAUUCAUCGUACAUCAAUUUGAUUAUAUUUAUCUGUAUAUCGGCAUACCUAAAUACACAUAAUACACACAUGCAUACAUGCACACACACACAUGCACACAUACAAACACACACCUACACACAUACACUCAUACACCCAUAC
rnacentral:misc_RNA from 1 species